AUGGGCGAGCCGGGCGAUCGAGAGGACAUGGCGGCACUCUCGGCGCUGAUCCGGGCGGCACCGCCUGAGAUGACGCCGGUGCUCGCCGUCAAGGACACCGCGCACGAGGCGUGGGAGGCGAUCCGCAUGAUGCGCGUGGGCGUGAACCGCGUGCGGGAGGCGACGGCGCAGCGGCUGCGCAAAGAGUUCAAGCAAAUCGCCUUCAAGGAGGGUGAGUCGCUCGACUCGUUCGGCAUGCGGAUCACGGGCAUCGUCAACAAUCUCCGAUCACUUGGCGACAUGGUGGAGGAGACCAAGGUGGUGCAGAAGUUCUUGCGCGAGGUGCCUGCGCAGUACGCCUAG
rnacentral:rRNA from 1 species